rnacentral:ncRNA from 2 species
UCACAUCUGCCGGGGUGCUUUUACAAGCUGAGAACAUACCCGCAAAGGGCUGUCCGCACGGAUGCCCUAUUACCUGAUCCGGAUAAUACCGGCGGAGGGAGCAUAUGAAAAAUCAUU